AUCACCACUUACGAAGGGAAGCACAACCAUGAUGUUCCAGCUGCUCGUGGCAGCGGCUAUCCAUCCAAUAGACCUCCAUCCAAUGGUAACAGCAGCAGUAUGCCUAUCCCUAUAAGACCCUCUGUCACAACCAGCACAAAUUAUCCGAGCUCGCUGAACAGCACAAGGUUACCAACAUCAGCAAGUCAAGCACCAUUCAACCUAGAAAUGCUGCAUGGUCCAGGGAGCAUUGGUUUCUCAGGUUAUGGGAAGCCAACCGGUUCAUACAUGAACCAAACACAGUAUACACAGAGUGCAUACUCCGGACCUAAGGAAGAACCAAAGGAUGACUCGCUUCUCGACUCUUUCCUAUGUUGAAAACCAAAAAAAACUAACUCCACAAGUAGCAGUUAGGAUUCAGGAAACACUGUUGAAUUAGAUAUGCUUGUAGUAGUGUAAUAUAGAUAUAGUUGUAAUUUUUUAAUUUGUUUUGAGGCCCUUCUAAGCUUGAUAGUAUAGGCCUCAUUUUGUCAUAUACACAAUAAUUCAGCAGAAACCUAAAUCCUAACUGCUACUUGUGGAGUUAGUU
rnacentral:misc_RNA from 1 species